UGCAAGUCGAACGGAAAGGCCGGGUGCUUGCACCUGGUACUCGAGUGGCGAACGGGUGAGUAACACGUGGGUGAUCUGCCCUGCACUUCGGGAUAAGCCUGGGAAACUGGGUCUAAUACCGGAUAGGACCAUCGUUUAGUGUCGGUGGUGGAAAGUUUUUUCGGUGUGGGAUGAGCUCGCGGCCUAUCAGCUUGUUGGUGGGGUAAUGGCCUACCAAGGCGUCGACGGGUAGCCGGCCUGAGAGGGUGGACGGCCACAUUGGGACUGAGACACGGCCCAGACUCCUACGGGAGGCAGCAGUGGGGAAUAUUGCACAAUGGGCGCAAGCCUGAUGCAGCGACGCCGCGUGGGGGAUGACGGCCUUCGGGUUGUAAACUCCUUUCAACCAUGACGAAGCUUUUGUGACGGUAGUGGUAGAAGAAGCACCGGCUAACUAC
rnacentral:rRNA from 1 species